rfam:Triticum aestivum genome assembly, contig: Triticum_aestivum_CS42_TGACv1_scaffold_049371_1BS
CAACUACUACCUCCGUCUGAAAACCUUCUCCCAAACUUGUUUCUCAAAUGGAUGUAUCUAGCACUAAUUUGAUGCUAGAUACAUCCAUUUGAGAGACAAGCUUUUUCGGACGGAGGGAGUAGCUU